rnacentral:rRNA from 1 species
GAUGAACGCUGGCGGCGUGCCUAAUACAUGCAAGUCGAGCGAACAGACGAGGAGCUUGCUCCUCUGACGUUAGCGGCGGACGGGUGAGUAACACGUGGAUAACCUACCUAUAAGACUGGGAUAACUUCGGGAAACCGGAGCUAAUACCGGCUAAUCUAUUGAACCGCAUGGUUCAAUAGUGAAAGACGGUUUUGCUGUCACUUAUCGAUGGAUCCGCGCCGCAUUAGCUAGUUGGUAAGGUAACGGCUUACCAAGGCGACGAUGCUUAGCCGACCUGAGAGGGUGAUCGGCCACACUGGAACUGAGACACGGUCCAGACUCCUACGGGAGGCAGCAGUAGGGAAUCAUCCGCAAGGGGCGAAAGCCUGACGGAGAAACGCCGCGUGAGUGAUGAAGGUCGUCGGAUAGUAAAACUCUGUUAUUAGGGAAGAACAAAUGUGUAAGUAACUAAGCACGGCUUGACGGUACCUAAUCAGAAAGCCACGGCUAACUACGUG